AAAAAAAAAAAAAAAAAAAAAAUCUAAAUCAACGAUCAUAAUUCAAAAUGCAAUAGCUUAAUCAAAGUAAAAGAAAAUACUCUGAAACCUAACUGUAAACUAUUUAAUGAUCUAUUACAGUAAUUUAAUAACUGAAUGCUUCCAUUGAAAAAGCAGUGAAUCUUCCAUGGGAUUGUGCAACUUCCAGUGAAACACAAUAAAACAUAAUAUUAUCUUUAACAAAAGAAUUAAGUUCUAAAAAUGUUUCAUUUAUAAAAAUUCUACGACUUAAUCUUCAAUUGGACAUAAUAAAUAUUAUUUUGAUAGAAUGCAAAAUAUAAAACCUAAUUGAAUGGAUAUUUACCGGUUAAUACACGUAAAACAACACUUAAUAACAUUACUAGUUGUGUGUUUCAAAAUGAAUGUCUCAUUAAUUUAUCUUGAUAUUUAGUUUCAAAUGAUUUAUUAAUAUUUUUUUGCUUCAAGACUGAUUGUCUUGUAUGUUUCAAACAUAAUAAGAAACCCGUUUCUUCUAUUGAUUGUGAUGCAGAAUAAAACCAUCACAAAUUUUUUUUUUGCUAAUUGAGCAUAAUUUUCUUUAUUUAUUUUUAAAUGUAAUAUAACAUAUUCAAAAUAGAUAUCACAUUGUAUAUAAUAUUGUCAUGAAAUUUUCAUUAUUAGAAUCUUGUAAUAUAUUACCUUUGUUUAAAGUGCCAAUGAUGCAAUAAAAUUAAGGACAAUAAUUUAUUGAUUCUGAAAGUGAGGCUGUUUGUUGAGGUUAAUGUUGGAUUUAAUUUUUAAUUUUUAAUUUUCUUCUAAAUGGUGUUUAACUAAAAUCUGCACAAACUAUAGCAACCAAGUAAAUUUGAAAGUAGCAAGAGUUGAUAUUUUUCUACAGUGUUUGAAUUCUUUGUGUAACCAACCACCAAACAUAAUGUUUGAAGUGUUGUUUUUCCAUAUAGAAAAACAAAUGCAAUUAAUAUUUUGCACAAGUUUGACAUGUAUUACUUCAAAAGCACAUUGUUAUGACAUACAUAACAAGAAACAAUCAGUGUUUGUUCAUCACAAUCCUGCAUUUAUUGACUGUUUCUAUUAAUGUAGAAGACAAGUCACUUGUUUGGUCUUAUUCCAAUUGACAACCUUUCCACAUCUUGCAAUGAAUUAGAACUACACUUACCUUCUUCAUCAUGUCAUGCCUUCAAUACACUCUUUUUACUCAAACCUUGUAUACUGCGGUAUAAAAUUUUGACUUAUUGAUUGAUUGAU
rnacentral:lncRNA from 1 species